rnacentral:lncRNA from 1 species
CUCUCCACUACAUUCCAAAUACUGUAGUUAUAGUAUUUAAUGCUACAUUUAUUGCUCUCAACAAAUUCAAUAAGAUCUAACCAUUCUCACACUCCCCAUUACUCCAGGUGUAAUCGUGUAUGUGUACUCCAGGUUACUCCAGGUGUAAUCGUGUAUGUGUACUCCAGGUUACUCCAGGUGUAAUCGUGUAUGUAUACUCCAGGUGACCGUGUAUCCAGGUGACCGUGUAGGUUUGGUCACCUUUCUGAGCAGGUGCAGUAUGCCACUGUAGAUAACAUUCACGAACAUGCAGCAAUACGUAUAAUCGUGGUACACAAUUCACAGAAGCGUAUUCGAGGUCCUGGGCUUGCCACAAAUGCAAUACAAAAUGGUAGCAAAUCAUCUCUAGAGGCACACUACACAAUGAGAUCAACAUAGAUUUCAGCAACCCUUGAGGUGUAAGAACCAUGUACACAG